GCUGGAAUAGCUCAGUUGGUUAGAGCGUGUGGCUGUUAACCACAAGGUGGGAGGUUCGACCCCUCCUUCUAGCG
rnacentral:tRNA from 2 species